rnacentral:lncRNA from 1 species
CAAAGAACCCCUACAUAAGCAUGCAUGUCACGAAAUAAGUGUGGAUCACAAAGCAUAUUUGAAGGGGAACAUGGAGAAUGAGUAAGAAUGAAUUCUUUUACAUUUUUGUUGUAGAUUUAAGUUUUGUUUGGAUUGAUGGAAUAAAGUGGAAUAAAGUGUUAGCUAACGAGAUUAUAUUGUUUCAAUUUUUAAAAAAAAAAUAGUAGAAUGAAAUGGAAUAUGACGAAAUCUAU